AACGAACGCUGGCGGCAGGCUUAACACAUGCCAGUCGAACGCGUGCAGCAAUGCACGAGUGGCGCACGGGUGAGUAACGCGUGGAUAUCUGCCUUUUAGUUCGGAAUAACCCCGGGAAACUGGGGCUAAUACCGGAUGGUUCCUACGGGAUAAAGAUUUAUCGCCAAAAGAUGAGUCCGCGUCCGAUUAGCUAGUUGGUGAGGUAAUGGCUCACCAAGGCGACGAUCGGUAGCUGGUCUGAGAGGACGAUCAGCCACACUGGGACUGAGACACGGCCCAGACUCCUACGGGAGGCAGCAGUGGGGAAUAUUGGACAAUGGGGGCAACCCUGAUCCAGCCAUGCCGCGUGAGUGAUGAAGGCCUUCGGGUUGUAAAGCUCUUUUGGCGGGGACGAUGAUGACGGUACCCGCAGAAUAAGCCCCGGCUAACUUCGUG
rnacentral:rRNA from 1 species